GCCGGGCGUGGUGGCGGGCGCCUGUAAUCCGAGCUACUAGGGAGGCUGAGGCAAGGGAAUCGCUUGAACCCGGGAGGCAGAGGUUACAGUGGGCCAAGAUCACGCCACUGCACUCCAGCCCGGGUGACAGAGCGAGACUCUGUCUCCA
rnacentral:SRP_RNA from 1 species